rnacentral:rRNA from 1 species
UACAGAGGGUGCGAGCGUUGUUCGGAAUUAUUGGGCGUAAAGGGCGCGUAGGCGGUGCCACAAGUCACUUGUGAAAUCCCCGGGCUUAACUCGGGGCCUGCAGGCGAAACUGUGGUGCUGGAGUAUGGGAGAGGUGCGUGGAAUUCCCGGUGUAGCGGUGAAAUGCGUAGAUAUCCGGAGGAACACCGGUGGCGAAGGCGGCUUCCUGGACCGACACUGACGCUGAGGCGCGAAAGCGUGGGGAGCAAACAGG